UAAUUUUGAAUAAACUUGUUCAGCUUGAUUAUAAAUUUGUAAAAUAAACUUUCGGUCUUAGCCAUAUGAUAUCAAACGAUCAAAAUAACCAUAAACUUAAAGUACUUAGCUAGGGUAAGUGUAUAAAAUGUCAGUACAUUUUAUUGUAGUUGGUGGAAACUAUGCACGGAGCUGUAGGCUGCUUGGCCAGAAGGAUGGGCUGCUUUUGUCAACACUUCAAGACUGCAAAACUGAGGCGAAAGAAGCAACAGCAAGAGGAGCAGCAGCAGCAGCCGAAGAAGAUGCUGGAGCGGUAAAUGCCUGAGGGGCAAUGCCAAGAGAGUUGUCUGGCAAUUGUCGAGAGUUUUCCAGCUGCCAGCUGCCAGCUGCAUAUGGCAUUGCGAAGCCCAACAGUCAAUAAACACCAGCCACUCCUCUAACGCGCACAAACCGAGCCGCCCAAAUAGCGCCAAAGCCAGUUGAGAUGUGCCGAGACGCGAGUGUUGACUCCAAUGCCAAAGCGCUGGCCACAGGCGCGUCCGUAGCUGAUGAUGCCGAGCAGGAACAUGCGUGAGCGUUGGCGCUGGAUAACGGGUCCGCCCGAAUCGUACUGGCAGGAGUCCUGGCCCAAUCCCGUAUGAUCGCAAAUGGGCGCCACGCCUCGUGAAAAUUCGAUUGGUGCCAAUGUCUGGAGCAGAGCGAUAUCGUUUGUAUCUCCAAUGCUGUUGUAGGCCGGAUGAUUGAUAAUGGUUUGUAUGGCAUAUUGAAAAGCGAACAUCGAUUCGCUAGCUGUUAAGCAAAAAAUUAGUGAGUAUAGGUCCUGAGAAGAAGAAAGAGUUCUUACCACUGCUGAGAUCGUGAUCACCCACCAGAGCCAAGAGUCGAGUGGCCAAUCGCUGGACCGUGCAAUGCGCUGCGGUGACAAUGAAGCGAUCACUGACGAUGCUGCCGCCACAGAAGAUGGGCUGAUUGGAGCCAAUCUCCCGCAGACCCACCAUUGAGGGAUACUCGUGCUUGGUCGCCUCGACGCCGUUCGUGAUGCGCGUCGGCUGCGACCAGCCGCAGUCGCAGGGCACGCGACGUGCCACCGCCUGGCAGCUCAGCCUGGCGCGCUGCUGGGUUGAGGCACUGAUCGACUGGUAGCCCAAGGCUAUGGAUUGAUAGUUCGAGGUGCGGGACACUUGACCCAUGCGACAAUAGCGCUCGGCAUCACGGAAUUCCAUAUCUCCGUCGCGUGAGAUGAAGAGAAACUUGGACUGACAGAUGUCGGGAUACUAAAACCAAACAAGAGUCACAGAAGCUGCCAGCCUGGUAAGCAAUCGUUAUUUGUCGUUACCACUUCGAAGCGACAAGUCAGGUGUAUCACAUGAUUGGGAGGCGCUUUAAUCUGGUAACGACAGCUGCUGCCCGCUGGCAGAGCCCUUGGAAAAUUAGAGCUGGUUAUGUUGAUGAGUUGAUUGGUCUGCAGGUUGUAAUGCCGGCUGCACUGCUGGCCGUCCACCAUGCUGAGCAUCAGUGGCAGCAGCAGCAGCAGCAUCAAACUGGGAGAUGGCGGCUCGAACAUUCUCACAGAAUAUUAUCUCAAGUAUUAUCGACAGCGACUGCAAGUGGCAUCACAUGCAGUGCCAGCUCUUAUAUCAGAAUUGGGGAGCCAUAAAACAAAUAAAAUAUAUUUUAAAUAAGUCAGUCCCCUGACGAAAGUAGAUUACGAUGUCAAUGCCACGACUAUUGACUCUUUCGGCUGUGUGAUUUUCAGCCCCUGCAAAUAGUAUAAAAGCCAGUUAUUCAUCAAAUAUGUAUAUUGUUACCUUUAUGCAGGGAUCUGAAUAAUAAUAUGAAGCAUAUUUUUGCUAUAUUUCUUAAUAACUAUAAGCGAUUGCGCCUACCGUUAGAAAAUACGAGAGAAAGUAGAUUUGACUGUGUUCGAUUUGCUUAGAAUUCUCAACGAGUCAUAGCUUCGAAAGAGUGGAGAUGUGCCUGCAAGUUUGAAGUUUGAAGAAUUGGAGAUAAUCCGAAUUUUGUGUUGACAGACUUUUGUCUCGCAAUUAAAAAUAAAGUUUUUGGAGUUCUUAACCGCAACGCGAUAUUUAAAUUGGUAUUUAGAGUAGUCGUAUUCCAUAAAUCGAAUAUGUGAAGGAUCACCACAGUAUUCAAAUUAGACUCGAUUCGGGACGUGUAAGUCAAAGAGCCUUUUCGCAAGUAACAAUAAGCUACACCUUACAUGAAUAACAUAGGGAAAACAUAUGCAUUAGCUGUGACGUCACAAGGCUGAUUGGAGCGAUAUUAAAGCUUUCUUCCAAAAUGCACUGUUCUUUCCACUUCAAACAUCAGCUUGAACAGAGGAAUAGAUGGAGCAAUAACAAUAACAGUGCUGUUCAGAAAUUACGCUCGAAUUCGACUUCGAAUUUGUCUCGUUUGCAGCUCACCUUGAAAGCAAUAAAAUGGCCGUCAACAACAACACGAACAAUUUGCACACAAAUUAGUCACGUACGCAUCACGCCCAAAAAGGAAACGAAAGAACGCCAAAAACAAGAACAACAAUAGGCCCAUUUUAGGAAUUGGGAGAGCUUCAUGUUUGUAUGGCUAAGCUAGGCUUGAGCCGCUCUUUGCUGCGUUCAGUGUGCUGCCAGUAGCCGAAGUCUGUGCGUCCGGGGCGUGUUGAGCGGUCGAGCGGGUCAGGGGAAAUCCGAGGGUAUUCGCCUUUAUACCUUUAAUGCUGGCUGAAACGAUUAUGAUUAUCAAAAUUUUGGAAUUUAUGAUCUAAAUUUGGAAAUAAACCAAUUAUUUUAAAUUAAAUGCUCCAUUUCAAAUCGA